rnacentral:rRNA from 1 species
UACAGAGGUCUCAAGCGUUGUUCGGAUUCAUUGGGCGUAAAGGGUGCGUAGGCGGCGCGGUAAGUCGGGUGUGAAAUCUUGGAGCUUAACUCCGAAACUGCAUUCGAUACUGCCGUGCUUGAGGACUGGAGAGGAGACUGGAAUUUACGGUGUAGCGGUGAAAUGCGUAGAUAGUCGUAAGGAAGACCAGUGGCGAAGGCGGGUCUCUGGACAGUUCCUGACGCUGGAGGCACGAAGGCCAGGGGAGCAAACGGG